rnacentral:sRNA from 1 species
AGCAGCCGCGGUAAUUCCAGCUCCAAUAGCGUAUAUUAAAGUUGUUGCAGUUAAAAAGCUCGUAGUUGAAUUUCGGGACCAAUAUGUUGGUCGUGCCUAGGUACGUACUGUCAUGAUUGGUUUCUCCCUUCUGAAGAACCACGAUGCCAUUAAUUUGGUGUCGUGGGGAAUCAGGACUGUUACUUUGAAAAAAUUAGAGUGUUUAAAGCAGGCUCGCGCUUGAAUACAUUAGCAUGGAAUAAUGAAAUAGGACGUUUGAUUCUAUUUUGUUGGUUUCUAGGAUCGACGUAAUGAUUAAUAGGGAUAGUUGGGGGCAUUAGUAUUCAAUUGUCAGAGGUGAAAUUCUUGGAUUUAUUGAAGACUAACUACUGCGAAAGCAUUUGCCAAGGAUGUUUUCAUUAAUCAAGAACGAAAGUUAGGGGAUCGAAGACGAUCAGAUACCGUCGUAGUCUUAACCAUAAACUAUAGCCGACU